UACAGAGGUCUCAAGCGUUGUUCGGAUUCAUUGGGCGUAAAGAGCGUGUAGGCGGCUUGGUAGGUCUGCUGUGAAAACUCGGGGCUCAACCCCGAGACGUCGGUGGAAACCACCUGGCUAGAGUCCGGAAGAGGAGAGUGGAAUUCCUGGUGUAGCGGUGAAAUGCGCAGAUAUCAGGAAGAAUAUCCGUGGCGAAGGCGGCUCUCUGGGACGGUACUGACGCUGAGACGCGAAAGCGUGGGGAGCGAACAGG
rnacentral:rRNA from 1 species